CCUGCCCUUAGAGGCAUUGCAGAUGUGGCUGCUGUGUUGCACCUGCCUCAGUAGGUGGCAGAGAGGAAAGAGGCUAUGUCUACACGCAGUGUUCUGACUUGUGAACACCUGAGUGAUUAGUAGCCUAGCAUU